rnacentral:rRNA from 1 species
GAUGAACGCUGGCGGCGUGCCUAAUACAUGCAAGUCGAGCGAACGGACGAGAAGCUUUCUUCUCUGAUGUUAGCGGAGGACGGGUGAGUAACAUGUGGAUAACCUACCUAUAAGACUGGGAUAACUUCGGGAAAGCGGAGAUAAUACCGGAUGAUAUUUUGAACCGCAUGGUUCAAAAGUGAAAGACGGUCUUGCUGUCACUUAUAGAUGGAUCCGCGCUGCAUUAGCUAGUUGGUAAGGUAACGGCUUAUCAAGGCAACGAGGCAUAGCCGACCUGAGAGAGUGAUCGGCCACACUGGAACUGGGACACGGUCCUGACUCCUGCGGGAGGCAGCAGUAUGGUAUCUUCCGCAAUGGGCGAAAGCCUGACGGAGCAACGCCGCGUGUGUGAUGGAAGUCUUCGGAUCGUAAAACUCUGUUAUUAGUGAAGAACAGAUUUGUAAGUAACUGUGCACAUCUUGACGGUACCUAAUCAGAAAGCCACGGCUAACUACGUG